rnacentral:tRNA from 2 species
GCCCCGAUGGUGAAAUCGGUAGACACUGAGCACUUAAAAUGCUUUGCCGAAUGGCGUGCCGGUUCGAGUCCGGCUCGGGGCACCA